AGAAAGAGGAUUAUUUCCCUUAUACUUCAUAGCACAGUCCUCAUCCAAGGAAGCCGGAGCAGGAACUCAAGCAGGAACCUGACGGCAGGAACUGAAGCAGAGGCCACAGAGGAAUGCUGACUUGUUUCUUGACUUGCUGAGCCUGCCUUCUUAUACGUCCAGGACCACCAGCCCAGGGAACAACCACUCACAAUGGGCAGGGUCCUCCCACAUCAAUCAUCAGUCAAGAAGAUGCCUCACAGGCUUGCCCACUGCCAGUCUGGUGGGGCAUUUCUCAGCUGAGGUCUCCUCUUCCCCAGUGACUCUAUCUGUGCCAAGUUGACAUAAAACUGAGCAGCACACCUUUGGGUGAGGAUGCAUCUGGUUGUUUCUAAGUUUGCAUUUUAGUUUUUUAAUUAAAAUUUUUAUUAUUUAAUGUAUGUGUGUGUGUUUGUCAGGGUACACAUAUGGAAGUCAGAGAAUAACUUAUAGGGGGAGUCAGCUCUUCCUUCUGAUGUAUGGGUGCUGAGGAUCAAAUUCAGGUCGUCAGCUUUAGCAUCAACCGCCUUUAUCCUCUGAGUCAUCUCACUGGCACAUUUUAUAGUUUACAUGUUUUCCCAGUUAGCAUACAAAUGUGCCAGUUUAAUAACUGAAUGUAACAAAUAACUCUUGGAAGGAGAUGGCACUGCUUCACAAAAAGGGCUGAUGGCAUUUUAGGCUACAAGGAAGGAGUAUUUAGUGUGCCUUAUAGUACACAUACUGGGUAACAGUAAUUAGCAGGUUGCAUAGAAUAAUAGAUAGUGAACAUUUAUCAUACACUUGCCACUUUCAGAUACCAUGCAUGGACACACCUUGGGCUCACUCUAUUACACUAACUCAUUCGCAGAUUCUCUUUUAGUUGUUUUCUAACAGCACCAUAAAGGUAGACACUAGAAUAGUCUGGAGAGGCAGCUGGAGUUUAGAGAAGUUAAGGACACUUGUUAAGAUAAAGCCAAUACUGCAACAAACUGUUAAUUUUUUAAUCGUUUAAAAUCCCAUUGGCAGCAACAUUGGGACUGAGGGCGGGUAUAGUUUCCACUCUGUAUACUGACGGGGCAUCUGCUGGUCUCUAAUGUUGCUCUAGGUAUUCCUACCGAGUCAGUGGUCAGGAUAAUUGAGACAGCAGAGGCCAGUGUGGUGUUUAUGGCUCGGCCCUGGAAGUGAUGUAAUUUGCAUCCACCUUCCAGUGUCUGGAAAUGAGCCAUGUGGUCACUUCUACCUGCAAGGGAAACUAGAAAGAGUCUGCUUGUGGCCCUGGAAGGAAAAAACAAACAAACAAAUAAGCAUUCUCAAGCAUUCGAUGAUUCUUUGCAAUGUGAGUGCUCUUCCUAGAGUAAAUGACAGCCAGGCUGAGUGUCCUGUCCCGAAGCCGACAGCUUAACUGCAGAGCCACACAGCCACACUAAGAGACGUGUUUAUAGGUGGUGCCACCCUGGCACCUGCUUCUUUGCCACUUCAAAGCCUACUCCACCACUUCCACUCCUACUGCCCCUUAGCUGGUCUCACUUUCCUCAGUAUUUCAUUUGAGAAUUAAGACUUGCCUGUUUUACUUUUUGUGUGUGAAUAUUUUGCCUGCAUACAUUUAUGGGUAAUUACGUUCGUGCCUGUUGGAUCCUCUGGAACUGGGGGAUGGCUGUGAUCCACCAUGUGGGUGCUGGGAAUUGAACCCAGGUCCUCUGUGGGUGCUGGGAACUGAACCUGGAUCCUCUGCAAGAGCAGCAAGUGCUCUCCAGUCCCCUUUAUUCAGUGUUUCAGGAUCGGCUCAGUCUCCUUCAGAUCUGCUGCAGCUCCACCUCUGCUAACCUCUACUUCACAGCUCUGCAAGCAUGUCCUUUAAGCAUGCAAAUAUGCUUAUAUAACUUCCUGGCGUACAAGUUCCAGUAAAUCCCAUGAAUAAAGCUCGGCAUGCUUGGCUCACGCAGGCUCUGAGGAAUGCACACCUGCCUGCCCUUCUACUGGUCAGUUUUGUAAACCCCAUACAGUUCUCUGCACACCUCACUCUCUUCUUUACCUUCCUGGAUUUGACUGGACUCCAUCUCCUGCUUCUCCACUUGUCUGGAUUGUAUACAUCCUUCAAGAGCCACCAAGUGUUACCUGUCCCCGGAGGCCUUCCCUGACCACGUCCAGCACUAGCUGUCCCUUUGCCUCAGUUAGGGAUUAGCCGCAGCUAACAGCCUCGGCUGCAGCUGCUGACUAGCUUUAAGAAAAGCCAGUCAGUGGGGAGGAUUAGGUGCUCAUAAAGUUUUUGGAAGGGUGGAAUACUAGGCAGGCUAUAAGCAAUUUCCAAAAGUAAUUCCUAAAUCCACACUGCAGAAUUUGCCCACCAAGGGCAUAUACCUCAGCCACAAGUGGAACUCUAGAAAAUGUGGAAGAUACUGAAGGUGGAGGUUCACACUGCCUCAGCGUGGUACCCAGAAGCUGUGGGCAAAACACCCGCAAGACCGCUACUGAAAAGUCAAAAGCCUGGACAAUGGGCUCCGUCUCUCACUGGUUCACUAACAAAACUAGUGGCUCUUAAAGUCCCCUCCCCCACCAAAAGCUUCCCGAAAAGCUCUCAACAUCUCUCCCAUUGUGAUAACCAAGUCCUGUGAUUUUUGUUCCAUUCUGCAGCAUAAACUCAGUAUCACCACUGUGCACACCUUUCACAUCACAAACCUCAUUACCACUCUCCAAGCUUCCAGUAACCAACACUUCCUUUAGAAAAAGUACAGAUUCCUUGGCUUAACAUUCACGUUCUUCUUCUUCUUCCUGUCCUCCACAGCUUCUGUUCAUAGCGCCGUCUGCCUGUUUGUCCAGCUUCCUAACCCUGUGCAUCUUGGAGCUCUGAUGUAAAUGCCUUCAGCCCGGGGAUGGGUACCGCUACCUGCCAUUUAACCCUGGUCCCCGGUCCUCCACAUCAGAUGGCAGAUCUUUUCCUACUGAAGAUCUACAGCGUAGGCUUUUACAGUGUUGUGAAGGGCCUUGGGGCUCCAUGGAAAUGUUUCUAGGACCUCUAGAGGGAGUAGAGGAAGACCAGAAGGGAGGUGCUGAACUCCCUGUCACUUCAACCAGCACAGCUCUGCUCAGCAGGAGUCAUCUGUUAUGUUUCCUUUAAUUUUUAUGACAAACGUUUAUAUUUCCAUGGAAAAGAGAAAAAAUACUUUUAAAUAGAAGUUUGGAUGAUGUGUGUGUGUGUGUGUGUAUGUGUGUACACAUGUUUGUAUAGAUGUACACACCUACACAUGCACAUGUGAAGGCCAGUUGUCUGAUGUCCUCGUUUAUCAUUCUCUACACUAUUUUUUUGAGGGAGGGUCUCUCACUAAACCUGGAGUCUGCUGUUUCAGCAAGUCCCAGAAUCCACCUGUCUUCUCCCUCGCCACAGUGCUGAGCCUAUAGGUACCCAUCUCCAGGCCCAGAUUUUACCUGCGUGCUAGCAAUGCAAACGUGGUCCUGAUCCUUUACCCACUAAGCCAUCUCCCUAGCCCCUGGAACCUUUUUUCAUGGUACUGGGAGUUGAACCCCUGGCCUAAUAAUGUGUGAUAGGCAACCACUCUCCUGCUAAGCUACAGUGCCAACCCGAAAGUGAGUUUCAAAGGAGUUUGCUGGCAUAGCACUCACCUUGUGCAUGAAGUUUAAUUGUGUGCAUGUGUCUACCUCUUGGUCUGGCUUGAAUCACUUGUGUAUAAUCAGAUGGAGACAGUCAAUAUGCAUGCGUUCAUUUGGAUUGAAGAGAUAAGGCUUAAGGAAAACAAUGGACAUCAAUUCCACAUAAAGCCUUCUUUUUUUUUUUUUUUUAAAGUUUCCCCAUAACAGCUGAAGUGGCUUCCAGAGGCUAUUACAAGACUGUGAGACCUAAUACAUGCCAGCAAAUGUCAGUUUGCACCAAGCAGUGAGAGACUCCCUGAAGGGAGGGUCAAGACCAGGAAGGACACAGCUCUCACAGACCCUGAAGGCCCCUUUGACCUUGCUGCCCCCUCAUCUCCUGCUGUAAUUAGAAGCAGGCCACACUGAGACUCCAGAUGGCCCAGUCUCAGGAUUUUUGGAGACUGUAAUAUCAGCAGGAUUUCUUUUUUAACUUGGAAAACAAAUUGGUCUGAUGCCUUUAUAUUGAAUUGCUUGUUGUCUGCCUCUGACUAAAAGUCCCCUGAGGCCAUUUUAAAAAGGCAGCCCUAGAACUGCUGUGUCUGGUCCUUGAGCCAAUACAGCUCCUGAAGCCAGGUUGGCAUCUUCUGGGCAAAGAUUUGCUGGGGCAGCACAUUUAGAGGAGAAUGUACAACUUUUGCUCCUUAGUAGUAAAUGGGAACUCACUGGAAGGCAGUGGUGAAUUGUGGGAGCUCACUGGAAGGCAGUGGUGAAUUGUGGGAGCUCACUGGAAGGCAGUGGUGAAUUGUUGGGCCCUGUUAGCUGUCUCUGUAGGUGGACAGAGGGUUUCUUUGCUUGCCCAUUUCACAUCAACUUUGACUGUAGUUUGAGUCUUCCCUCUUGGAAAUUGAGUGAACAUGAAUUUCAUUCCCAGCACAACUAGCUCUCUAAUUUCCCUGUCUUGGGACCUUCCACGGGCAUUUUGGAACAUACAGGAGGGGGAAACUAAGGUAAUCUUAGGAUAGCCACAGUUCUAAGAGAAUUUUGACACAGCAAAUUUAGAAACAAUUUGUUUGCUCACUUAAGUGGAACAAAUAUCAAUUUUUCUGGAAAUAUUUUCUAAGAUUAGUAAGUAUUAGAUGGACCUUGAUAAUUUAGUUUUAUUAAUGUUAUUUCAAGUACUUAUUGAAUGCCUGGCUAGUGUCUUCAGGGAAGAAUGGUUGGCCCAAUUAAUUCAUUGAAUUUUUUUUUACCUUCCUAUUUCCAGAGAUGGUGGUUUAAUUAAAGGCUAAUGGCAUCAUAUUUUUUGUUAAUAGUGAAAAGUGUUUGAUUCCAUUACUUAGUGUGUUGGAUUAAGGAAACAAACUCAUCAAAUCAACUUAGAAGAACUUACCUUUAUAUCAAGACAGAAUAUCCUUUUUAAUCAGCCUUGGUGGUAAAAGAUUGGACAGAAGAGGAAAGUAUGAAUCACACUGUAGAUAUUGGCUGACAUUGACAUUCAUGUUAAAUGCAUGGCUUCCAUGCACAUUGUAGAUCUGUGAUGAUUAGAAUAGUUUUUCUGUAGCUUACUGUGUCUACUGUCGCUUAGCUGGUUUUUAUACAGAUGCUCCAUUCUGUCUUUGCUUCCUAAUCCUGGCUGUUGCCCUGAUGCCUUUGACCUGGCAGCUGUGGGAUGGGCUUUCGUUUGCGCUCAUCCAUUAUCCUAUCCCUAAAGAUCCCUUUUCAAAGUCUGGAAAAAUCAUUAGGUAUUCCAUUGCUUACAUUUGAUGCUUCAUUAACAAAAUAGUUAUUUAAAAUUUCUGACUUAGUGAAUAAGAAUUUAUUCAAUUGCCCAUGUCUUAAGUUAAUAGGAUUAGAAAUCCAGAUAGUAUAUGUAAUAAACAUAUGGCCCCUUUUCAUGACUCGUCACUCGAGAUAUGUAAAUGGUGUCACCAUAGAAGCAGCAGAAGGAAAUAUGAGAAUAUGUGAUAUAAUUACGUUUCAGAAAAGAAAUAGCCAAUUAUGUUAUCCAAGAUCAGCUCCAAAAGAAUCAAGAAACUUCUUGUGUGUGGCUAAGGAUAAAACAGUGCUUUAUUUUGUAUGCUCAAACAAAUAAAUUCCAAAUGCAAAGUCCAGGAUUAGAAAGGACUGUCAUAAGAGAUGCAGAAAUGCUUAGCACAGACACAAUCUUGGAUGCAAAUGUCACAGUUCCAAAAACCGCCUGGUAGCAUUGGGCAGCCUUUGAAACUUGGUUCAUUUGCUGGGCUUGUCCAUAACCUCCCCAUUCUGUCAGAGGCUUAACACUGGUUCUCUUUUGGUUCAUUUGGGGGAGACGAAGAAAUGCAAAGGUUGUUGCUCAUCCAUCAUGUGUACAAGGCAGCAUCUGUUCUCUGCUAAUGUUUUGCCUGCAUUUCUGCUUUCUGAGUACGUUAGGUAACCAUAGAAAUGAACUUUCUGGUAACCCGAAGGUGCAAAUAGAUACAUUGCUUAGACUAAUAUCAGCUGAGGUGCAUCAAAUGUGAAAAUUCCAACCCUUCCCUAUGGUAGGUAACUAGUUAGGAUCCUGAUACCCACCUCCCAAUGCUACUAGUUCUGCCUGGCCUACCUGCUGUGCUAGACUCUCUAGACCUUCUGUAAUGCAGCAACUUAAGGGAUAACAUCUAAUACAUGAGAGGCUCCGGUAUGCGGCUGGAGCAUUCAUGAUUUUUGCUAGCACUCUGCGUGUUACCAAAUUUUCUGGAAAGUUGACUUCCAAAAAAAGAGUAGAACAUUUCUACCCCUCAAUUUGGAGCAAUAUAGCAUCACCUGGUUACGGACUGACUGGAUAGGGAUGGCCUUACUGAAAAUAAGAUCUAUUUAUGGGGAGAGCAUUUCCAGAGCUAUGCAUGGGUUGGUGUAGGAAAAUCACAUGAAUAUACCAUGCAGCAACCUGGCACUAGGAACAGCAAAACUGCCCGCACCCUGGGCCCUCUCGAUGGAGAGAGGUGGACUUAAGUCAAGGACAAUCAUUGUGAAACAAGUCGGAAAGCUGAGAUUCUGGUUAGUUAUGGGAUGACUUUGGACAUGACCAUGCAGAAGCUGUAGACAGCACCCCGGAGGGCUUUCUCCAUCAUAUCCACAUGAACAAAACCCAGUGGGUAGCUGGGAACCCCAGUGCCCACUGACUGUGUGUAGGUUUUAUCUCCUGGGGCAGUGCUGGGUAAAGAGAGUGGGAAAUGGCCCUGGAAAGAUGAGGGAGGACUCCAGCCCACCAUCUAAAUGUCGUGUGAAGUUUUUCAAAAUAGUUCAUAUGAAAUGCUCUCCACUUCAUAAGGAAGACAUGUUAAAGAUUUAACCUGCUGCUAUCAUUUUUGGAUUAAGAAAUGUAUCCUUUUGUUUUGUUAACUCACUUCCUUCUUUGUGGCUACGUUUAAUAACAAACCAAAGGCAGAUCUGUCCAGUUGAUUUUCACAACUGACCAGGUUUUCACCAAGUUCCAGAAACCAAUAGAUGUCAGCCCUCCUGGGAUUGAGUCAGGUGAUCAUUUAUUUGCGGUAAGAUCCAGGAGAGUCCUUGUGAAGUCUCCAGUGUCAAGCUACAUCUGUGUGUGUAAAACACACCACUGUCUGAGAGAGGCCACCGUUACUUCUGACAAAACUGACUCAUCUCCCCUCGGUGCAGAUUGUCUGCUACAAUCUGGCUCGUAGAACAAGAAGUGGCUUACAGGCCCCGAAGGCAUGGAGCUGCUGAGCCACUGCUGCCUCCUCGUGCCCUCCUCCCCUCCCCCUCUCUUCCCCUUCUCUUCCCCUCCUCCUCCUCUCCUCCUCCUCGCCUUUGUUCUUUCUGGCCACACUUCCGCAGUGCUGACCACACAGCGGCCUUGACUGGUGUUGGACUACCCUGCCUGCUGUUGGCCUCCAGGUUCCCCCAAGUUACCGUAGCCGCAGGAACUCCUUGGGCAACUUUGCUCUUUGACAAGGCAUCAAAUGAUUUGUGUUCAGGGUGAUCUCAGCCCUCCUUGGCACCGCACUCAGGCAAUUAUAAUGUCUUCGCUUCCUAGGGAUGUAAUUGAAUGCAAAGAACAUACAAACAGCCUUGUGUUUGGAGAAGUGUUUCUUCCAAACAGAGGUGGAGAGAAAGUGAGUUUCCAAGUUUCCUAAACACUGAGGGUCCCCCACCCUCUGCUCCGAGCUCUUUGUCUCAAUUGUCUAAGCAGAAAACAGACAAUGGGAAAAUUACAAGUCAUUAUAAGCCAUUGAUUGUGAAGGACUACUAGAGUGCCGAGCUAAAACAGCGAUGAACUGGGAUGCCUAGCUUGGCCUCAAGGAGCUCGUAGUCUGGUAGGGAAGGUACUUACCCCUGGGUACACAGAGGAUAGAGAUGGGGAUGUUUCACUGUUAGAGGGAGAGUGGAGACAGAAAAGGUUUCUUAGAAGGGGCGACAUCUGAGAUGGACUUUGAAGGCUAAAUAUUAAGCAGAAGGCUGAGCAGAAGCGUAGGGCAUGGGAAACUGAGUGGUGAGUCCAAAAAGGCCUGGUUGGGAGGAUGGGUGUAGGAGGUAAGGAGACCAUAACGGGGACCUAGUGCUGGGGGCUUGACCUUCAUCAUCCAAAGGGGAACCCACCACUGUAUGGUUUAAACCAGUUUGACCUUUUCAAAGCUAUCAGCCUGAUGUGUGUAUAAGGGCAAGCGAGGUAUUCCCAGUCCAAACAUGGCAUUGGACCUUAGCUUACACUAAAAAGCUUUCUAACAUGCUCUAAUUUAAACCCGUAACAGAAUUAAUUGUAUAUCAGCUGGGAGACAGAAGCCACAUCCGUUAUUUUAAUGCAGAGAAUUUAACAUGAAUUGUUAAGCAAACACUGAGGAACUGAAGGGCAAACUGUAGUAAAUAUCAUGGUUCUAGUUGCCAGAGGAAAUAUCACCAGCCCUGAGGGUUGGGGAGACAUGGGAAGAGGUCAGAAUUAUUAAUACCUGCACUCUUUAGCGGUGGUCACUCUGCAGGUUUAGAAUAAAUAACCGUUCCUGAAGUAGAAGCCAUCGUGGCCAGGGUGGAAAAGAGGGCCUAUGGAGGCCCAGGCAGACAGCACGACCAGAGAGCCAACAGGAAGAAAGCGGGCCUUUUCUCCCUCCCCAACCUUUCUUCUCUGCUCAGCACUCCAUGGCACAGAGCCUGCUGGGGAGUUGGCAGGCCAGACUCCCAGUGCAGAACCACAAAGCAGAAUGAGAGAUUAGAGCUAAGCAUCCAGCAAAUGCCUGCUCCCAGGGUGUGUGGCUCUGCCGGGAGGAAAUGGGCUGGGUGUCCCAGAAACUGAGUCUCCUAAAACAUGAGCCGGCAAUAAAUCACCUUUUGGACUUACUUUCCUUCUCAGCAUGGGAGCUACAGUUGUGGCCUCUGACUUUCUUUUUCUCCAGUGUCUUAGGAGCCUUUUUUUUUUACGUGAAUUCAUUGAUUUUAUUUUGAGACAGAGCCACACCCUGCGGCCCAGGUUGACUUGAAGUCCACAGCCAUCCUCCUGCCCCAGCCUCCUCUGAGUGCUGGGGUUAUAGGCAUGAGCCACUAAACCUGACUUCUUAGGGCCUGUUCAUCAGGGCUCCUGAUCUCCCCUGUGCCAAGCCCAUGCCCCGCAGUUUACAGGACUCCAGGAACAGGAUGGGAUCCCGCACAGGGCUGUCUCUAGCCGGGCAGUGCCAUCUGUGUAAGGCUUCGUUCAGCCACCAGAGGGCAGUGUUCUCAGCCCAGCUCGGCCUGGUGGGAGCAUGAGUGUAGUCACUAGACGCAGGUUCAAAUCCAGCUCGGAUAUGAAUUAAACAACCGCAGGAAGUGGUUUAAUCUCUGAAGGGCAGCUCCUCGUUUGCAAAGUAAUACCGCUGUCUGUUUGCACCACACAAAUACUUAAGAGGUGUUCAGUAGGUCACCUCUUCCCUUAUUUGAUGUCAGUAACAUUCAGGACCAAAUGUCACGGAAAUGUCCUUAUGCAGUUCUCCUUCUCUCCAGGCAUCUAGAACAUUGGGCACACCAACAACAAUUUUAAAAAUAUAUGUAUAAUGGCUGGAAGUUGUUUGUAAGGAGGAAGGCCGUCUUCAGUGUAUGUAGACACCAGUGGCCGGAUCCCCUGUGAGAACAAUAGCUAUUCACCGUGCUUCAAAGCUGGCACCAGCAGCCAGUGUUCCUGAGUAAUUCCCACACAAACAAAUCUCCAGCAAACUUUCCAUGACCGUGUGGCUUGGUGUCAACAGCUUGUAGCAAGUGCUUUCUACGUGUAUACCCUCGCUGUCCCUGUAGAUGUGAGGGUUUAAAGGGAAUCUUGUAAACACCGUUUAAGAAUUAAUGAUUUUUACAAAACAAAACAGAAAACAAAUUCUCAUCAACCCUGCCCUCCAGGUUGUGGUUUGCGGCGACAGAGGACAUCUGGGAAGCGGUCCCUUCCACCGGAGCUGGGGACAGAAGAUGUAGCAUUGGAACUAUCCUUUAAAGCCACCCAGGCCGUGAAAGGCUGGCCGAGGCAUGCAGGCUGCCAGAGGUCCUGGCUCUUGGGCCAAUGAAUAAUGACAGGCUUUUCAUUUUUAAGUAGUAGUUAGAAUUUGAUAGCACUUAAUAUUUGCAGUGACCUUUACAGCUAUUGUUAUUAGCUAUUCCUCCCGGAGGCUCUUUGAACUAAAGGACACAACUAUUUUUACUCAGCACCCCCCCCUCCACUCCCUCUCCUCCUGCUUCUGCUGCAAGCCUGGUGGGUUCUCUGAAUGCAGCACUGACAUUUGCCUAGAGGUAAGCUUCAUUUUCUUGUGGGCAAUGGUCUCAGUCAUAAAGUGUAUUUUCAAGUCAAAAUAAUAUUGAAUACAGUGCAUUUAAAUAUACUCAGUGUAAAUCAGUUCAUAUUGCUUCUCUGCUUAAAAUCCUGCUGUAGCUGACUAUUUCACUCAGGGAGCAGCCUAGGUCUCGGGUUUGAAAGGCCCGCAGUCCCUCCUCCUAACACGGCCCUAGUCAGUCACCUCUUUGCCACAACUCCCUGCAGGCUCGUGGCCCAGACGUUUGCGCUGGAAGAUUCCUGGGCCUGACGUGCUCUUCCUCCAGGUAUGGCUGCCUCCUUUGCCCCUUGGAGGUCUUCGCUUCGGUGACACCUUCUCCAUGAGGUCUCUCCUGCUGACCCAGUUUCCAACUGUAGCUGUCAAGUCGUCCCUGCCUCCCAGGAUGCUACACAUCGUUUCCCCGGUUAUUGUGUUUCCCGGUUCUUUUCUCUCUCCCUCACCUGACAUAAGGCAGGGAUCUUUGGUGGUGUAAUUCACUACUGCACACUGAGCAUCUAGACUAACAAAUGCAUACAAAGGCAUCUAAUAAAUUUUUGUCAAGUGAGCAGAUACUAGUUCUUUAACGGUUGUUGUCACGAGGCUUAACCUGACGGCUGGAAUUUUCUCAGUGUGUGUGCUUCCUAUUAAUUCUCCUUAGUGAAGGCUCCUAGGCUAGUUUUCUACCCCCCCCUACCCCACCCCCAGACAAACAAUUCAUUCUGAUAGCAAUUCUGUUCAGCUAAACGAAAGCCACCAGUUCCUAGGGUUGGAAGGAAGUGGGAAAUCUCAGUGGCACAGUACAGAAAAUGCCUUAACAAGGGUUCCAGCCCUCCCUGACCCCAGCGCCAUGUGGCAGGGUUGCGUCAGGCCUCUGAAGGGAGGUGGGCAUGAGCAGGGCUUGAAGGAGCAAGAUCUACUGAUGUGCAUGCUUCCACAGGCGCCCACGUCAUUACCUGAGGAGCACCUUAGCCUCUUAACGGAGGUUAAGACUUCCAUUACCUUUUCAAUGAACAAAAGGUAAAGAGAAGCUCCCUUGAUGCCGUAAAGGUGAAAACUGCACGUAUCUGUGGGUGAGAGGAUACAUACUGGGAAUGUUGUUAGGAUUUAUGCUGGUUUAGUAAAGUGGUGGCUGUAGGUUUUCCUCUAAUAUGACGACUCACUAGCCCUGUGUAGUGGGCUAGGUUUCCAGUACCAGGCAUGGCUUCCCUCUUUCUGAUCAGGCCUGAAGUCCAAUUAGAAGACUGUUAGCUACCAACAAGGUAUUCAUGCCACUACUGAACCUUUGGGAUUAUUGUGCCAUGCUGGUCAUUGCUGUGGUUCAUAGGCACCAUAGCUGGGUUAGGACUGUUGGUUGCUUCCUUCCCUUGGAAGCUUGCAUGCUGCCUUCUGAUACCAUGAAAGCUAGCCCUCAAGGAGAGCCUUUCAGGUCAGAUCCAGCACAGGACUCUGGGCCCUGUCCAAAGUGCAUGGUGUCUUUGGCAAUAGGGACUUACCUUCCACUUCUGGGAGGCAACCAAGGACAACAGCCAUAGCCAACAAUGUUCUAGGAGUCUCUUGGACAACCCUGAGCAGCAACAACUCAAAAGGAAGUCUCUCAUGUCUGCUGUUGGGCUCCAUAAAAGAAAACCACAACCCAUUAAAAUGCAGAGAACAAGAGAUCACCCGGUGCUCAGCCCCAACUGAUAUAUCUACAACACAAUUCCCACACCUAAGGCUCAGGGGUCAUUGUUUAAAAGGAGGCAGAAGGAUGAAAGAAGUCAGAGGACUAAGAAAUUUGAUGUGAGAUUGUGUUUCCUAGACAUGUCUAAGAGGCUACACCCAGGAAGUCUCAGCAACAUGGCUGCCUAAACAAGACAUGAACAAAGGACAUGGUGAUGUGGAAGGUGGAAUGUUUGCAGGGCUUCAACCCAAAACAAAGAACCACAAAUAAUGGGCCCCUGGAAACUCCUGCUCUCCUCCUAUCUGUAUGGCUUUGUCUCCCAGGAGUACUUCGUGUAAGUAGCAGCCCAUAGCUUUUGUGAGAAGAUCUUGAAGGUCCAUCCAUGUUUUCAGCAUAUGCCAGCAUUUCUUUCCUUUUUAAGGUUGAACAGUAUUCCAUCAUACAUGGACACCAUAUUUUGUUUAUCCAUUUAUCUGCCUCUGGCCACUUGGCUUGCUUCCAUAGCCAUAAGGUUUUGUGAUGAUUAGUGAGCUAAGGCAUGUAAAAGAGUUUGGCAUAUAGUAGGCACUGAAUAAAUAUUGGCUGACAUUAUUGUUAA